rnacentral:rRNA from 1 species
GAUGAACGCUGGCGGCGUGCCUAAUACAUGCAAGUCGAGCGAACAGACGAGGAGCUUGCUCCUCUGACGUUAGCGGCGGACGGGUGAGUAACACGUGGAUAACCUACCUAUAUGACUGGGAUAACUUCGGGAAACCGGAGCUAAUACCGGAUAAUAUAUUGAACCGCAUGGUUCAUUAGUGAAAGACGGUUUUGCUGUCACUUAUAGAUGGAUCCGCGCCGCAUUAGCUAGUGGGUAAGGUAACGGCUUAUCAAGGCAACGAUGCGUAGCCGACCUGAGAGGGGGAUCGGCCACCCUGGAGCUGAGACACGGUCCAGACUCCUACGGGAGGCAGCAGUAGGGAAUCUUCCGCAAUGGGCGGAAGCCUGACAGAGCAGCGCCGCGUGAGAGAUGAAGGUCUUCGGAUCGUAAAACUCUGUUAUUGGGGAAGAACAAAUGUGUAAGUAACUAUGCACGUCUUGACGGUACCUGAUCAGAAAGCCACGGCUAACUACGUG